UAUUUAGAAUUUUUAAAGCGGGAAUUUUCAGCGAAAGGUGGCUAGUUUGUAUCCUAGUUUACAAUCUUCUCAGUUUCUCUCCAAUGCCCAUUCACAAACAUGUUUUAUUACAUUUUUUGACCAAUAGAGAUACAGAAAUGAACUGAUAUGAAUCACUUCGCCCUCUUAGGCAGCAAAUGUUUAAUGACUUCAUGACUCACAAUGAAGAAGAAAAAGAGAAUAGGAUAAGCGUAGCUAUUUCUCUUAGUUCACUUGGACACUGCUGUCCUCAUUUUCAUGCAUUGUUUCUCUUCUCCCCUUCAUCUGUUCUGUUCUGCGCCCCAGACGUUUCCUCCUCUAUUCAUUUUGGUCGAGUAACAGCAAUGCGCCAAAGGCCGAGCAGUUGAUAUGUACUCCGUUUAUAAUAAAUAUAUUUUUGUGCUCAUUAAAAAUGCUAAAAUAAUUUUUAACAACUACGCUUUUGAUUAUUAAUAACGUUUAUUAUAAAGAUUUUUUACAGAAUGAUUUCGGCAAAUUGUUUGCGCCACUGCUGUACUGUUAUAAAGAUCUGUGAUUUACAAGCAGCAGAAUUUCAUCAUAUAAUAUCAGCAUCUGCAGCAAAUUCAUAUUUUUGCCUCUCUGAAUAAAAUUGAGCUGUUCUUGCGAUAUGAGCCGCAGAAGCCUGAUGGAUCAUGUGAUACUCAUAAAAAAACAAACUUUCUUGUAAUAUAUUUUGUCUAAUCAACCGUUCCAUUUUUAAAAAAUGACUAUUAUGACUAUAAUUGAGUAUUAUUCGAUAUGUCAGGCUUUUGAGAAUACCACUGUAUUACCAAUUAGGGUUAAAAAAGGUGGAAAAUUUCGGAAAUAUUCCAGAAAUGUUGGAAACUUUCCAGGAUAUUUUUGGAAAUUUUCCACCCCUUUGCAACCCUAUUGCCAAUGCAUGUAACGCAGCAGUAUUAUUCUCACGAUACGACGCCAACAUGGUCAGCUGCUCAGUUAUAAACUCUGGAAUGAACUGUUAUUUUUCCACGAGGAACCGAGCGAGAACGAGUGCUUCUGAGAGCCGAUGGAGUUCGGAGGCCGCUCUGAAAGAAGGCCAGCGCUCGAGUCGCCCGUACAACCAAAAAUAUGUUUUUAUUGUGAAUGUACAUCUAACCCCCUCACGAGUGUGAAGACAGAACAGAACGUGGUCGUACAGACUCUCAUCGCCGGAGGCCACAGGUGUGUGUGGAUCAGUGCAUAUGGAUCGAGUCACAGAAACACAGUUUACAAGUAGUUGGUCAUUAUAAGAAGCACCAUUACAAACCCCUCCGCUCCAGGGGUCCUCUAGUUUACAAAUGCGUUCGCGAGUAAAAAGGUGACACGGUUACAGUAUAGACACACUUAAAUUACAUGGACAGGGUUUCUGCAGGUCUCACAAAGGUCUGCAUUCGCUCUUACACAAUCUGAGGGCUUACAAAGGUCUGGAAUCGGAGCAGAAAGUCUUGAACUCGUAAGUGUUGCACGCACUGCAAAAAAUGAAUCUCUCCCUCAGUAUUUCUGUCUUGGGUUUCCAGUGCGAAUAUCUAAACCUGUUUAAAUCGAGAUACACUUACUGGAGACGCAACAUGAACACGUGAUGUAAAAAACGAGACGUUUCCGUCCACAUUUUCAUGCAAAUUUUGGAAUAUUGCAUAAAACACUGGAUUGGAAAUGCCAAGAUGCGCAUAAAAUGUGCAACAUUUUAAAAACUCGAUUGAGGAGGAUCGUUUUUAUUCAAAAAAGAAGACAUGCACGUUAACUACAAUGGAAACACGUUUACUCAAUAAAUUCUUUAAUGUGCA